CACGUAGGGCGCAAGCGUUGUCCGGAAUUAUUGGGCGUAAAGAGCUCGUAGGCGGUCUGUUGCGUCCGCUGUGAAAACUCGGGGCUUAACCCCGAGCCUGCAGUGGAUACGGGCAGACUAGAGGUAGGUAGGGGAGAAUGGAAUUCCCGGUGUAGCGGUGAAAUGCGCAGAUAUCGGGAGGAACACCGGUGGCGAAGGCGGGUUGCUGGGCCGAAACUGACGCUGAGGAGCGAAAGCGUGGGUAGCAAACAGG
rnacentral:rRNA from 1 species